rnacentral:tRNA from 1 species
GGGCGUUUGGCCGAAUGGUAAAGGUGGCAUACUUGUCUGUGGGUUCGAUUCCCGCAACACCGCG